rnacentral:rRNA from 1 species
UGCAGUCGCACGAUGACGGAGGAGCUUGCUCCUCCUGAUUAGUGGCGAACGGGUGAGUAAUACGUGAGCAAUGUGCCCUUGACUCUGGGAUAAGCGCUGGAAACGGCGUCUAAUACCGGAUACGACGAUCGGAGGCAUCUCCUGGUCGUGGAAAGAACUUCGGUCAAGGAUCAGCUCACGGCCUAUCAGUUAGUUGGUGAGGUAAUGGCUCACCAAGACGACGACGGGUAGCCGGCCUGAGAGGGUGACCGGCCACACUGGGACUGAGACACGGCCCAGACUCCUACGGGAGGCAGCAGUGGGGAAUAUUGCACAAUGGGCGCAAGCCUGAUGCAGCAACGCCGCGUGAGGGACGAAGGCCUUCGGGUUGUAAACCUCUUUUAGCAGGGAAGAAGCGAAAGUGACGGUACCUGCAGAAAAAGCACCGGCUAACUACGUGCCAGCAGCCGCGGUAAUACGUAGGGUGCAAGCGUUGUCCGGAAUUAUUGGGCGUAAAGAGCUCGUAGGCGGUUUGUCACGUCUGCUGUGAAAACCCGAGGCUCAACCUCGGGCUUGCAGUGGGUACGGGCAGACUAGAGUGCGGUAGGGGAGAUUGGAAUUCCUGGUGUAGCGGUGGAAUGCGCAGAUAUCAGGAGGAACACCGAUGGCGAAGGCAGAUCUCUGGGCCGUAACUGACGCUGAGGAGCGAAAGCAUGGGGAGCAAACAGGCUU